CCAAACCUGCGUAGUUCGAGUAGAUUGUUUAUUUUAGAACCAACAGUUAGAUUAAAGGGAGUCCGCCUUUGAAUGUGGCGUGUAGGCUUAAUCUGUUUUACUUAUUAAGAAACCCAUUAGCAUUCAACAAGACACCCACCUGUGUAAGCACAGGCUCUUAAAAUUCUCAAUCAGACGGCCACGCGGGAUUUUU
rfam:Clostridium sp. CAG:793 genomic scaffold, scf48